AACGGAUUGCAUACUUGGGAAA
rnacentral:miRNA from 15 species